rnacentral:lncRNA from 1 species
UAGAAUAGAUGUUAAUUCAUUUUUGAAAGAAAUUGAUAAAAUAUAUUAAUAGUCCAUAUAAUAGGAAAUUCAGGAGGACGGAUGAGUGAGUUAGUUAUUAAAAGCGGUUACUUAUAGAAUAACGAUUGAAAUCUGGAGAAUCAAAAGAAAAUAUAUAAGAGUUGUAGAAGUUAAUUAAGGGGCGAGACUGUGAUAGUGUGAGCCGGGGUAAGCUUGGUGCUACCUCUUUUCUUUUAUUUUUUAUUUUCUUUGAAUAAGAAGAUUAAGAGUUUCUGAAUAUUGUGAAAGUGAAUUAUGGAAUGGAAGUAUGAUUGUUAUUAAAUGGAAAGAAGAAAGAUUGAAUGCUAAAAUCUGAUUGUAG